rnacentral:rRNA from 1 species
AGGCCCCACCUGCCCAGUGAAACUAUUUAAACGGCCGCGGUAUCCUAACCGUGCAAAGGUAGCGCAAUCACUUGCCCCUUAAAUGAGGGCUAGUAUGAAUGGUUUAAUGAGGGCCUAACUGUCUCCUGAGGCCAAUCAAUGAACUUGAUAAUUCAGUACAAAAGCUGAAAUAAACACAUAAGACGAGAAGACCCUGUGGAACUUUAAAUUACUAAUGCUAGAAGCUAUUACCAAACCAAGCCACACUAACAUAAAUUUUAAGUUGGGGCAACUACGGAGUAAAAGAAAACCUCCACGAAAUUAUAGCUAACACCUAUUUUACAAGGCCAACACGCCGAUCAACCAAGGACCUGAUCCAGUAGGACUGAUCUUCGAACCAAGCUACCCCAGGGAUAACAGCGCCAUCCCCUUCAAGAGUCCAUAUCGCCAAGGGGGUUUACGACCUCGAUGUUGGAUCAGGACACCCUGG